GGGCAUAUGGUGUAGUUGGUUUAUCACGCUCGCUUAGCAUGACUGGGGGAGAAGCUAGACAUGUUUGCGAGAGGUGUCCGGUUCAAUUCCGGAUAUGUCCA